rnacentral:sRNA from 1 species
CAUCCUCGGCCUGUUGCGGGCAGAUGAAAUGGAUGUGGGAGUCGAUGCCGCCCGCGGUGACGAUGCGGCCCUCGCCCGCGAUGACCUCGGUACCGGGGCCGAUGACGAUGUCGAUGCCUGACUGGAUGUCGGGAUUACCGGCCUUGCCGAUGGCGCUGAUGCGCCCGUCCUUCAGCCCGAUAUCGGCCUUGACCACCCCCCAAUGGUCCAGGAUCACCGCAUUGGUGAUCACCGUGUCCACCGCCCCUUGGGCGCGGGAGCGCUGCGACUGGCCCUGGCCGUCGCGGAUG